rnacentral:rRNA from 1 species
GACGAUAAAUAAAAGCUAACUAGUUAAAAACUAAAUGAAUGAUAAACUAAAAAAUAGUAAAGGUCUAAUUUAUUUAAUCCCAGAUCCUAAAUUAUCUUAUAUAUCAUGAAAUCAUAAACUAAAACACGGAUUAGAUACCCGUCUAUUUAUGAAGUAAAAAAGUUGAACAAUACGAACCACAGUUUAAAAUUCAAAGACUUUGGCGGUGUCUUAUCAAUCCAGGGGAACCUGUCUCAUAACUCGAUAAUCCACGUCUACCUAACCUUAUUUAGAACCCUCAGCUUGUGUACUGCCGUCGUAAGCACACCUUAGAAAGACUUAAGUGUGCCGGUAUGAUUAUUUCACUCACGUCAGGUCAAAGUGCAGCCAAUAAUAAGGUGAUGAUGGGUUACAACCUGAAAAAAGAAUACGGAUAAGAACAAUUAAUAAUUCUUUAAAGGUGGACUUGGAUGUAAUAUUAAGAAAACUAUAAUGAAAAUGAAUCUAAGACAUGUACACAUCGCCCGUCACUCUCGCCAAAAGGUGAG